rnacentral:rRNA from 1 species
AUUGCCCCAGUAACGGCGAGUGAAGCGGCAGCAGCUCAAAUUUGAAAUCCGGCCCCCCCGCACGGGGCCCGAGUUGUAAUUUGGAGAGGAUGCUUUGGGGCGCCCGCCGGCCCGAGUUCCCUGGAACGGGACGUCGCAGAGGGUGAGAACCCCGUACGCGGCCGGGGAGGCGCCCCCCGUAAAGCUCCUUCGACGAGUCGGGUUGUUUGGGAAUGCAGCCCCAAAUGGGAGGUAAAUUCCUUCUAAAGCUAAAUACCGGCCGGAGACCGAUAGCGCACAAGUAGAGUGAUCGAAAGAUGAAAAGCACUUUGGAAAGAGAGUCAAACAGCACGUGAAAUUGUUGAAAGGGAAGCGCUCGCGAUCAGUCCCGACGGCGGCCGCUCAGCACCCCCCCACGAGGGGGGUGCCCGCUCGGCCGCCGCCGGGCCAGCAUCGGUUCCGGCGGCCGGACAAAGGCGGCGGGAACGUGGCCCCCCUCCCGGGGGGGGUGUUAUAGCCCGCCGCGCAAUGCGGCCAGCCGGGACCGAGGUCCGCGCCCCCCGGCUAGGAUGCUGGCGAAAUGGUCGCGAGCGGCCCGUCUUGAAACACGGACCGAGGAGUCUAACGUCCACGCGAGUGUUCGGGUGCCAAACCCGCGCGCGCAAUGAAAGUGAACGGGGGUGGGAGCCCCGCGAGGGGCGCACCAUCGACCGAUCCUGAAGUCUUCGGAUGGAUUUGAGUGGGAGCGUGGCCGUUGGGACCCGAAAGAUGGUGAACUAUGCCCGAAUAGGGUGAAGCCAGAGGAAACUCUGGUGGAGGCUCGCAGCGGUUCUGACGUGCAAAUCGAUCGUCAAAUUUGGGUAUAGGGGCGAAAGACUAAUCGA